rnacentral:pre_miRNA from 15 species
CUCCCCGCUGACCUCGCCGAAUAUGACACUGAAGCGUUACCGAACCGUUUUCCCACACCUGGAUUCGGUGCAACGAUCAGUGGCAUGCUCGGCUAGCGCCAGUUAAGUAU